AUUUUUUUUUCUUUCCUCCCUAAAACACUCUUUUCCAGUCCCUUUCUGCCAAUAUGACAACCUCUCUAGGAAAGCAAGUCGAUAGAGGUUAUUAAAAUGGACACAAGUCAGCUAAAGAUUUUCAGCCAGAGCCUUGCUUGUCUCGCAAAACCUGCGGGAAGUACCCGAGUUUCAAAUAAACCCCAGCAACUGCUGCAAAGACUCCUUGGCAUGCACGGAUUAUUACCUCGUCAGCUAUUCUGAGACUCGUACUGACGCUCGGAGGGGGAACAGGGCAACGGACGGGCGUGUAUUAAGGACCUGAAUUAAAUGUUACAUCCUCAUCCGUGGCGCUGGAAGUGGGAGACAUCUCGGCCAAGGCUCAGCGCUCACCCUCCGCUAGAGCCGAUCCUUGCACGUCCUUCCAGAGCUGCCCAGAGGGACCCCUGGAGGUGAGGGCAAAAAGCGGGGGACGACCUCUGUGGGAGUGCCGGGAUGCCCGCGGUGUCCCCUCCCCAGAGCCCGUCCCUUUUCCCGGGGGGGUCUCGCUGUGAGCCGUGCCCGGCUGCGUACCUCUGCCUGCACGGAAAAUUCCCCUCCCUUCUUUUUCCACCCCCCUCCCUCCCCUCUCUUUUAAGUGGAUUUUUGCUCUCACUUCAAUAACACGCCGGCUCUAAUUAGCUGCAAUAUUAAGAAACGCUGCUAAAUGACAGUUUUAUCGGGUUUGUGCAGAUAGGAGGAACGCGGGGACCCGGCGAAAUAUCCACCCAAUGC